rnacentral:rRNA from 1 species
UACGGAGGGGGCAAGCGUUAAUCGGAAUUACUGGGCGUAAAGCGCACGUAGGCGGCGGGGUAAGUCGUUUGUGAAAGCCCUGGGCUUAACCUGGGAAUUGCAGUCGAAACUACUCGGCUAGAGUAUGGGAGAGGACAGUGGAAUUCCCGGUGUAGCGGUGAAAUGCGUAGAUAUCGGGAGGAACAUCAGUGGCGAAGGCGGCUGUCUGGCCCAAUACUGACACUCAGGUGCGAAAGCGUGGGGAGCAAACAGG